CUCAUAGCCGCCUCCACAGGGCUGCCUCAUAGCCUGCAGCUGGCUCCUCCCAAAGCAAGUGGUCCAGGAGAGAAUGAGACUGCACUCAAGAAGGAAGCUAUGGUGUUUUCACAAUCUAAUCUCAGAAGUGGCAUCCCAGAAUUUCUGCCAUACUCUAUUCUUUUGAAGCAAAGUAUUCAGUCCAGCCUGCAGGCAGGGGGACCAUGUGACUACCAGGAGGGUGUGCAACAAUUGGGAAUGCUGAGCAAGGCUUUGCCCCUAUAUCCCUAUGCACUUCUGUUGGAAGAAUGUUCAAGCCUCUUCCCAAGACAGCUCCAGUGUUUGGGGAAAAUAAAGUGCUCUCCCUUGGCCUGGGCCCUUGGAUCCCAAGUGGAAAGGUGAGUCACGGAGGGAGGUGCUCUUCCUCUCUCAUGUACUAGGACUUUACUCAUUUUUGUAGCCAGAUGCCAUCACAAGGGCCGUUUGCUGGCAUUCUCAUUUUUUGGAUCAAUGGUGUCCUUCACAAUUCUGUGAAGGAAAUUUCCAUUUUCCUUCUUGAUUUAAAGUUCACAGAGUUGGUCUUUAUGCACUAUCUUGCUAUUUCCAAG
rnacentral:lncRNA from 1 species